rnacentral:rRNA from 1 species
UACGUAGGGUGCAAGCGUUGUCCGGAAUUAUUGGGCGUAAAGAGCUCGUAGGCGGUUUGUCGCGUCGGCUGUGAAAUCCCGAGGCUCAACCUCGGGCCUGCAGUCGAUACGGGCAAACUAGAGUGUGGUAGGGGAGACUGGAAUUCCUGGUGUAGCGGUGAAAUGCGCAGAUAUCAGGAGGAACACCGGCGGCGAAGGCGGGUCUCUGGGCCAUAACUGACGCUGAAGAGCGAAAGCGUGGGGAGCGAACAGG